rnacentral:tRNA from 1 species
UCGAAAUCGGUGACGCUACGGACUUAAAUAAUUUGAGCGAAAAUCCGUUGGCUUUAUUGACCGUGAGGGUUCAAGUCCC